CCUACGGGGGGCUGCAGUGGGGAAUAUUGGACAAUGGGCGAAAGCCUGAUCCAGCCAUGCCGCGUGUGUGAAGAAGGCCUUCGGGUUGUAAAGCACUUUCAGUGGGGAAGAAAGCCUUGGGGCUAAUACCCUCGAGGAAGGACAUCACCCACAGAAGAAGCACCGGCUAACUCCGUGCCAGCAGCCGCGGUAAUACGGAGGGUGCGAGCGUUAAUCGGAAUUACUGGGCGUAAAGCGCGCGUAGGCGGUCUGAUAAGCCGGUUGUGAAAGCCUCGGGCUCAACCUGGGAACGGCAUCCGGAACUGUCAGGCUAGAGUGCAGGAGAGGAAGGUAGAAUUCCCGGUGUAGCGGUGAAAUGCGUAGAGAUCGGGAGGAAUACCAGUGGCGAAGGCGGCCUUCUGGACUGACACUGACGCUGAGGUGCGAAAGCGUGGGUAGCAAACAGGAUUAGAUACCCGGGUAGUC
rnacentral:rRNA from 1 species